UACGUAGGGGGCUAGCGUUGUCCGGAUUUAUUGGGCGUAAAUAGCGUGUAGGCGGCCAGGUAGGUCUGGUGUGAAAACUCGAGGCUUAACCUCGAGAUGUCAUCGGAAACCAUCUGGCUAGAGUCCGGAAGAGGAGAGUGGAAUUCCUGGUGUAGCGGUGAAAUGCGCAGAUAUCAGGAAGAACACCAAUGGCGAAAGCAGCUCUCUGGGACGGUACUGACGCUGAGACGCGAAAGCGUGGGGAGCGAACAGG
rnacentral:rRNA from 1 species